UGCUAUACAUGCAGUCGAGCGAACAGACGAGGAGCUUGCUCCUCUGACGUUAGCGGCGGACGGGUGAGUAACACGUGGAUAACCUACCUAUAAGACUGGGAUAACUUCGGGAAACCGGAGCUAAUACCGGAUAAUAUAUUGAACCGCAUGGUUCAAUAGUGAAAGACGGUUUUGCUGUCACUUAUAGAUGGAUCCGCGCCGCAUUAGCUAGUUGGUAAGGUAACGGCUUACCAAGGCAACGAUGCGUAGCCGACCUGAGAGGGUGAUCGGCCACACUGGAACUGAGACACGGUCCAGACUCCUACGGGAGGCAGCAGUAGGGAAUCUUCCGCAAUGGGCGAAAGCCUGACGGAGCAACGCCGCGUGAGUGAUGAAGGUCUUCGGAUCGUAAAACUCUGUUAUUAGGGAAGAACAAAUGUGUAAGUAACUAUGCACGUCUUGACGGUACCUAAUCAGAAAGCCACGGCUAACUACGUGCCAGCAGCCGCGGUAAUACGUAGGUGGCAAGCGUUAUCCGGAAUUAUUGGGCGUAAAGCGCGCGUAGGCGGUUUUUUAAGUCUGAUGUGAAAGCCCACGGCUCAACCGUGGAGGGUCAUUGGAAACUGGAAAACUUGAGUGCAGAAGAGGAAAGUGGAAUUCCAUGUGUAGCGGUGAAAUGCGCAGAGAUAUGGAGGAACACCAGUGGCGAAGGCGACUUUCUGGUCUGUAACUGACGCUGAUGUGCGAAAGCGUGGGGAUCAAACAGGAUUAGAUACCCUGGUAGUCCACGCCGUAAACGAUGAGUGCUAAGUGUUA
rnacentral:rRNA from 1 species